CUAACUGAAGAAUGUAAUUUGCACUGUCUCUACGUUUUUUUCGAGUAAAAAAACUUUAGAAAUUUGUGUGCUAUGUGUGUGAUUUAUGUUAUGUGAUUGUGUAUGCCAAUCUAAUUUGUUAUGCUGACUCGUGACUUCGAAAUUUUUCGUUUCUCAAUCAAUAGAACGUAGAUGGCGUCAACUACUUUCAUGUGAAGGUCGAUGAACUCUUGUUUGUUGCCAUCAAUUGUCUUGGAACUUCUGCAAAGAAUUGCCCCUGUCAUUAAAGAUUACGUUACAGUUCUCAAUGAGGAUUCUAUCAGGAAGAAUUUUGUGCUUGUCUAUGAGUUGCUUGAUGAAGUCAUAUGGGUGGUGGUAAUAGCGGUGGUUCGGAUCGAGAGUGCGAGUGAGAGAAGCUCUUGAUGCGAAUAAAAGAGGUAAGAGAGAAGAUGAAGAUGGAUGGGUCAGAAAAGAAAACGAUGACCAAGAAGAUGAUUUGUCUAUCAAAAUUUGAUAAAUGAACUGUGAAUUUUUUUUGCUGUUUUUGUUGCUGAAAGGAUGAACAAAGGAAGAAUAUGAA